UCAGAAUUAAACUUAGUCGUGGAGGACAAAAAUUUGCUGUCAACAUCAAAUAUCAUCAAUUGAAUACAUCAACAUAUGAAGUUAGAAAAGCACAUGACACAAAGGCACGUCUGUAAGUCGCUAUCUGAAGGCGAACAACAUGCUAGAUUCCCAGAAAUUGACAUUACGAGGGUAUUCUAUAAGCCUCAAUAUUCAAAAUAGAAUAGUUGCAAGAUUCCCCAUGAGUUGAUAGUCCAUGAUUCAUCCGUAAGUUGCAAUAACUUUCUAACUAGAUAGUAUGCGAGAAUUGAGAUUAUCCAAAAAUUGAUAGCUUGAAGGUUAUCCAUAAUCCACGGCUAAAUCCUUAUCGGUUGAUGUGCAAUCCUCAAAAUUGAUAGCUCAAUGGUUUUCUAUAAGCCGCGCCCAUCCAAGAUUGAUUAUGUGUGGGAUUACCUAAAGACUGAUAAUUUGAGAGAUAUCCAUAAGUCGUACGCAUCUAAGGUCGGAUAAUGUGUAGAUUUACCUGUAAACUAGUUAUUAGGGGUAUCUAUAAGACAUCUCUUAUCCACGAUUGAAUAAUAUGCAGAAUCACCCAGAAGACUGUAAAAUCAAAGGACUUUUGUAAGUCAUUUCAUAUCAACAUCAAAUAAUAUACAUGAUUGCUCAAAUAUAGAAAAAUUUGAGAGAUAAUUGUGGGUUAUACUGAUACAAAAGAUACGCAAAACACCCAAUAAUCACAUGCAAAAGAUCAUUUUUAAUAGCCAAAGAGGUUAUCAUACCAUAUUGAAUAAGCAUUAUAGGUGACCAAGAGGGUUUCCAGGUUAGUAUAAGAUUACUCGGUUGCAGGAACCGUUCUACAAAAAGUAUUAUCGGUGCCCAAAAGGGCCACCCCACUUUGAAGAAAUUUCUUGAUAAUUA
rnacentral:lncRNA from 1 species